rnacentral:rRNA from 1 species
AACGAACGCUGGCGGCAGGCUUAACACAUGCAAGUCGAGCGCCCCGCAAGGGGAGCGGCCGACGGGUGAGUAACGCGUGGGAACGUACCUUUUGGUUCGGAACAACUCCGGGAAACUGGAGCUAAUACCGGAUAAGCCCUAACGGGGAAAGAUUUAUCGCCGAAAGAUCGGCCCGCGUCUGAUUAGCUAGUUGGUGAGGUAACGGCUCACCAAGGCGACGAUCAGUAGCUGGUCUGAGAGGAUGAUCAGCCACACUGGGACUGAGACACGGCCCAGACUCCUACGGGAGGCAGCAGUGGGGAAUAGUGGACAAUGGGCGCAAGCCUGAUCCAGCCAUGCCGCGUGAGUGAUGAAGGCCUUAGGGUUGUAAAGCUCUGUUGUCCGGGAAGAUAAUGACUGUACCGGAAGAAUAAGCCCCGGCUAACUUCGUG